ACAUCCAGCGAACUUGGCAGAGAUGCCUUGGUGCCUUCGGGAACGCUGAGGACAGGUGCUGCAUGGCUGUCGUCAGCUCGUGUUGUGAAAUGUUGGGUUAAGUCCCGCAACGAGCGCAACCCUUAUCCUUUGUUGCCAGCGAUUCGGUCGGGAACUCAAAGGAGACUGCCGGUGAUAAACCGGAGGAAGGUGGGGAUGACGUCAAGUCAUCAUGGCCCUUACGAGUAGGGCUACACACGUGCUACAAUGGCGCAUACAAAGAGAAGCGACCUCGCGAGAGCAAGCGGACCUCAUAAAAGUGCGUCGUAGUCCGGAUCGGAGUCUGCAACUCGACUCCGUGAAGUCGGAAUCGCUAGUAAUCGUGGAUCAGAAUGCCACGGUGAAUACGUUCCCGGGCCUUGUACACACCGCCCGUCACACCAUGGGAGUGGGUUGCAAAAGAAGUAGGUAGCUUAACCUCCGGGAGGGCGCUUACCACUUUGUGAUUCAUGACUGGGGUGAAGUCGUAACAAGGUAAGCGUAGAUGA
rnacentral:rRNA from 1 species